rnacentral:lncRNA from 1 species
CGGCCCGGAGCUAGAGAAGAAGAUACUUGUGGAAGAGUGCCACACACUAGAACUGAACUGAAAACCAUAAAGUUCAAAAGCGAACAUAUUAAUCACACUGCCAUGUAGGUACGUAUGCAUGCAUGAAUGUAUGCAUGUAUAUAUCUAUGUAUGUAUGUGUGUGUAUGUAUGUAUGUAAGUACGUAUGUAUAUGUACAUAUAUAUAAAUAUAUGUGUGUGUGUAUAUAUAUAUAUAGGCUCCGGAGUGGCUGUUUGGUAAGUAGAUUGCUUAUCAACCACAUGGUUCCGGGUUCAGCCCCACUGCGUGGCACUAUGGCCCCGAGCACACCAAGCCUUGUGAGUGGGUUUGGUAGACGGAAACUGAAAGGAGCCAGUCGUAUAUAUAUAUAUAUAUACAUGUGUGUGUGUUUAUGUGUCUGAGUCUUUCCCCCCAACAUCGCCUGACCACCGAUGCUGGUUCGUUUACGACCCCGUAACUAUAGUAGUUCGGCAAAAAAGACCGAUAGAAUAAGUAUUAAGCUUGCAAAGAAUAAGUCCUGCGGUUGAUUUGCUCCAGCGCGUGACCCCAUUCAAAUGACUGAAACAAAUAAAAGAAUAUAUAUAUAUGUGUAUAUAUAUAUAUAUAUAUAUAUAUAUAUAUAUAUAUAUAUAUAUAUAUAUAGAGAUAUAACAUAGAGAGAGAGAGUGAGAGUCUGAGAGAGAGAGAGAGAGAGAGAGUAGCGCGCGCUCGCACACACACACAUACAUACACUCUCAUGCUUUGAAUUGUAUAAAAAAAUAUACAACUGACUGAAACCGUGUCGAUAUGCAUUAGCAAAAAACAUAUGUUCUGUAUUUCUCAUGUAACACAUCUUAAUUAACAUUAUGGUACAACUCCAUAUGCGAGAUAAGAAUACAUGACACUUUGAGCCGAAUAAAUACACACGAUUCACCUGAUUCCUGAACGCUGAAGACUAUCAAGUGCUAUAUAUAUAUAUAUAUAUAAAGAGUAAAAAGAUAUAUAUAUAUAUAUAUAUAUAUAUAUAUAUAUAUAUAUAUCUUUUUACUCUUUUACUCUUUUACUUGUUUCAGUCAUUUGACUGCGGCCAUGCUGAAGCACCGCCUUUAAUCGAGCAACUCGACCCCAGGACUUAUACUUUGUAAGCCCAGUACUUAUUCUAUCGGUCUCUUUUGCCGAACCGCUAAGUGACGGGGACAUAAACACACCAGCAUCGGUUGUCAAGCAAUGCUAGGGGGACAAACACAAACAUACACGCACACACACAUAUACAUAUAUACGACAGGCUUCUUUCAGUUUCCGUCUACCAAGGCUUUGGUCGGGCCGAGGCUAUAGUAGAAGACAUUUGCCCAAGGUGCCACGCAGUGGGACUGAACCCGGUACCAUGUGGUUGGUAAGCAAGCUACUUACCACACAGCCACUCCUGCGCCUAUAUAUAUAUAUAUAUAUAUAUAUAUAUAUAUAUAUAUAUAUAUAUAUAUAUAUAUAUAUAUAUAUAUAUAUAUAUAUAUAAAUACAUAUAUAUAUAUAUAUAUAUAUAUAUAUAAUGAAAUAUACAUAUAAUAAUGUAUAAUAUGCGUAGAAAUAAUAAGAAAACGAGAACAUUCAGUAAGCGAAAACCUCCGCUAAGGCAACACCAAUGUCCUCUCACCGAUUAGCCAGAGAUGAUUUUUUUAAAUAUCUGAAAUAAACUCGACUGCUCUCACAAAUGAGAAAACUAAAAAUGAACCCGACCGCUAUCAAAAAUUGAGUAAAAAAAAUUUUUAAAAAAAAAACGAAAAAUAAUUUAGAACUCUUGACCGGAACCGGAUCGAUCCUAAAAUCUAAUUAGUUCGUGCCAGUCACGUGGCCUAACAUCCCUGGAAGUUUCAUUAUUCGAUUCCGUCCAACGGUUCUUGAGAUAUCUUGUUCACGGUCAAGCAAACAAACAAACAAACACGACUGAAAACAAUACCUCCGCCUUCGCUAAGGUGGAGGUAAUAAUAAAGAAGAACAGAAUAUAAUGCUGCAUAUACUUAGAUAUCUGGUUGUCUCUUCGGUGGUAAACGAUACUAAAGGUUUUCGUAAUUUCUAGUUUAACAGAUGAUUUGCUUAUAGUGAUCAAAUGUGUGUGUACAUUAGCUCACAUCCUCCAUUAAAUCUAACGUUGUUUGUACAGGUGCUAGGUAUGCCACAUGUCUGAUGUCAAAAUGGAGUGAUUUGCUUUACAACACAACCAGCGCCCAAUAUGGGAAUCGAAAGCACGAUCUUGUAAUCAUGAGUGAGGCGCUCUAAUCACAAGGACACACGCCAUCACUAUGUAUGUAUGUAUGUAUGUAUGUAUGUAUGUAUGUAUGUAUGUAUGUAUGUAUGUAUGCAUGCAUGCAUGCUUUGAUCGGCCCGAGGAUAUAGUAGAAGACAUUGCCACGCAGUUGAACUGAACCCGGAACCAUAUAGUUGAGAAGCGAGCUUCUUACCACACAGCUAUGCCCGCGCCUGUAUAUGUAUGUAUAUAUGUAUGUA